CCUACGGGAGGCAGCAGUGGGGAAUAUUGCUCAAUGGACGCAAGUCUGACGCAGCAACGCCGCGUGUGUGAAGAAGGCUUUCGGGUUGUAAACUUCUUUUAAGGGGGAAGAGCAGGAUGCGGUACCCCUUGAAUAAGCCACGUCUAACUACGUGCCAGCAGACGCGCUAAGACGGAGGGGGCAAGCGUUGUACGGAUUUACGGGGUGGAAAGGGCGCGCAGCCGGCGUGUCAAGUCAGAUGUGAACGCCUCGGGCUAAACCUGCGAACUGCAUUUGAAACUGGUUGUCUUGAGUAUUGGAGAGGUAAGUGGAAUUCCUAGUGUAGCGGUGAAAUGCGUAGAUAUCAGGAGGAAUACCAGUUGCGAAGGCG
rnacentral:rRNA from 1 species